AUAAUAGCCUCUUCAAUGGAAGAAUGCCCUAACCCUAAUAAAUGACCUAUUUCAUGAACCACAACAGAUUCUAAAUCAACAGCGUUAGAUAAAGAUGACUCCGUUACAUCUCCGUUAACUACCCAAUCUUCAGCUUUAUCUAAAUGUAAUCUUCCGUCAGUUGGUGAAAAAGCGUGUGCUAAUGUUCCAAGGACUCCGUCAAAUGCUUCUCCGUCACCAUGGUCCCCACUGUAAAACCCUAUUUUAAUAUCUGAUGAACUAUAUGACGUUGCUUCUGUGAAUGUUAUUGUAGUUACUUUUGACCAUUGAUUAAAAGCGUUUGCGAAAACUUGUUUCGUUGCAUCGUCGAGGUUUUCGCUAGGAUCGAAAGCGUAGGUUAGGGUUUGUGUUCCCUCCGGCCAGCGUGGCUGGCCGGGGAAGAAUGAAUAGUGUGCAACUGUGUGGAAGUUUGUGGAGCUGGAGUUGAAUUUGCCGGAGUUCAUGGAGGUUGUACCGUUGAUGAUGUCAGCCACACCGCAGCGUGGCUUGACGAUGUAAUUCAUCGUUGCAUCGUCGAGUUCACCUGUGAUGUUGAGGUUGAAAUUCUUUUGGUAGGUUCUGACGGCGGAUUCUAAGGCCUCGUCGAAGUCAUCGGUGAAAUUUGACGGCGGCCCGUUGGGGAUGUAACCGAAGUGGUUGAAGUAGUUUUUGAGUUUUGACAAACCGUCGUAAGUUUUGCCGCGGCUGCAGCCGGUGAAGUUUUUGUACCCAUCCCACGCGCCUGGUGGCGCGUUGCUAGAAUUCCAUGCGGGCAUUGAAGAUGGAUCAGGGAAGAAACGAGCUGAAACUGAAGUUAAUGUGAUGCUAAUUAGUGUUAUGUAGAAUAUGUGAUAAUAAUAACGUUGGUUUUGAGUAAUCAUGUUUUCUUAAGGAGAAAUUUGAAUGGAAUAAGUUUUAGAAAUUAAAUGUGAUGGUGGUGUUUGAGAAGAUAUAUAAUAUGAUAGGUGUGUUAUAAAUAAUGGUAUAUAUGAUGGACCAAAUAUUUG
rnacentral:lncRNA from 1 species